UUAUCCGAGCGCGAGCCCUAACUGUUCUUUCCCCAUCUCCUUCGUCCUUAUCGAGCUCGGGCGGAGCCGAGCCGAGCAGAGCCGCCGCCGGCGUCGCUUCGGCCACCCCUCACCGUCCCGCCCCGAUUCGGCGCGCCCCAAGCCUCCUAGCCUUGCCCCGCAGCUUCGCCAAUCCUCUCCUAACCCGUUUGAGUCAUUUCCCGGCCAAAUCGGACCCCGCCACCACCGGUCGCCCUGCCCCUCCGCCGGACCGCCGCCCCACAUGCCGAGCUCCUCCCCACGGACCUCCUCCGCUCGAUUCAAGCCCCAGGUGAGCUCCACCGAGUCGCCUUCAUUCUCUACGGCCCCUCCUCGAGGCCGGCCGACCUCUUCCUCUGCCGGAAUCGGCUCCCCUGUGCCGCCCACCAUUGGAGCCUCACCAAAGCUCCGCCCCCACCUUCGAUCCCCUCCUUCCGGUUUUCCUCUGCCCAAAUCGAGCACCCAGUGAGCAGCAUCGCACCACCCUCGACCUCUCCAGCCCCUCCCCUGGCCGUUUUGCUCACCGUGCCGCCGGGAACGCGGCCUCGCCGCCGCGGCCGGAGCUGCCAUGGCUGCCGAGCCCAAGCUCGCAUGGCCGUGCCCCCUUGCUUCCUUUCUGCACCUCGGAACCCGAGCCCAUGUCUUGCGCAAGCACCUGCAGUCCCAUGCCCCUUGCUGCGUCCUCACCGACAGUGGCAAGCGCGCUGCCGCCGCCCAGCCGCUAGCGCCGCCAUGCGCCCCUCUCCGAUCGCCGCAGCACAAGAUGCUCCAGCACAGUGGCUCCUCGCCUCCUCCAUGUGCUGGUGCUCCUCUCCAGCACGGUAGCCUAUCCAUAUGCAGUCAGCAGCAGCAGGUACGCUAGAUGUGCGGCGCGUGGAACUAAAGGAUAAAGUCGGAGCCGAACCCGAAGAUGAUGUUUGGUGGACAUAUCCAGAAGAUGGAUGGAUGGAUCUCGAUGUGCACGACCGAAAGAGGGUGCUCAUCAAGCGAGUAUCAUCUAACUAAUACUAACUUAGUGUUAAUCCCAAGCAAGCCCCGGAGCAUAAUCUCUACUUUCAGUAUUCAAUGUUAUUAUUUAAUUAUUGUGCAUUAAGUUUUCUAGGAAUUGAAUGAAACCCUAGUAUGCAUGUUUCUCCCUAGGUACCUAUGAGUUUCUACUAGUAUGCAGGCACCGUUAGAAAUGCUUUGCUAAUUAGGGACCCGGUAGAAGUCGAGUGAUUCCUGUCACUCGCGAGAUAUAGGUCUUGUUACUUAUGAGAAGUUACUAGAGAAUGAACCAUUGAGAAAAGAAAGGAAAAAUGGAGACCGGGCAGAGAGGAAUUUGGUUAUGGAUAUGGAAUGGACGGAAAGUGAGCCUCCGCCUGUGUCGGUUAAGGACCGUACCAUUGUUGGCACUACUGAUCGAGGAUUGAACAGUACUAACCACAUGCCGGAAGUAGGAGGUAGUCGAAACCGGUAAGCUAAUUACCUAAAUUGCGUCGGAAUCUGAUUCUCGACCUGCGGUGCUGGGUAGGGAUGACGGAUGAGGUAGUCGUCCAUGGGUUCACGCGGUGUUCGCACAUGUGGGGCUCCUCAUCCGGGUGCUGGCGGGCUUGAUUCAGGCUUCGGGUUAAUCAUGGGAACAGUUGCUCGGUGUGACUCGACGGGGUCGCACUUAGCGUGUGAGUUAGGUCCACCUUGCAAGGUUAAAUCGGAUCGAUUUGCUGUGACUCACGGAUAUGAGAACCUUGAUCUCUCUGUCACAUCGUAGUAAAAGAUGGAAUUGGGAAUGGAAAGUUGAGAAUAUGAGGUAUGGUUGUGGUACUCUGAAAAGAUAAUGUGAUCUACAAUGCGUGCUCUAGCUCUAGAUGUUCAGGCAAACCUAGUCAGUAUUUGUAUAAUAAACUUGAGCUAAAAUACUGAAAGUAAGGAUCCACUCUUAGUAGCUUUUCGGCAAAAUAACUCCAAAGCCAAAGAGCUUUGCAUGUCUAGAUAAUGAGAUAAGUAUAUCCAUAGACGGGUAAGUCUUGCUGAGUAAUAGUAUACUCAGGGUUUGUUGUUAUCCUAUUUUCAGGUAUUUGUUGCUGGUUGAAGCUAACCAGGAUUCACACCGGUGGGCUCGAUGUGACAUCCUCACGUCUUUAUAGUAUCGUGAUUUUUACAUCAAACUUCUAUUUAAAUUUUGCUGCAGUUUGAACUCUGAUAUUUUACAUAAACUUAUUUUGUUAAGAUCUAUUUUGUAAAUAAAAAUUGAGAAAUUUCUGUAUGCUUGUAAUCAUCUGUGCUCGCCUUCGGGUGAGACUUCCGGUGUUUUCGAUC